CCUCCAGGUGCCUGAUUAGGGCAGCCAUUUUGAGGCUUAGGCUGCUUAUAUAAACAAGGCAGUUUGGCUACAGGAGGUCAGGCAGCAACAUUGCCUGGCUGUAGGGCUGCUGUGAAUGACCCGGAGAGCAGAAAGCUGAUUGCAAGCUGGUUGUGGUCUAUCUUAGGACCUGAAAUUAAUCCAACUAUCUGACCAUAUAAGUUGCUUCAAUGAGACCCUAAUUGCUUAAAGUAAUGUGCUGAUCGCCAACAACUGCAGGCUGUCAUGGGACUGAAGCAAGAACUCUUUGAGCCACCACAAAUCCUGCCACCAAAAUGAAUGGGAAAUCACUUUCUAGCCCUACUACUUUUUCAUUGGUUGGCACUAUAAAGAUUUUUUAAAAGGAGUCCUGGGGGAAAUCAAAAUGUGAAGAAAUAGUGCAUUUUGAAGGUAAAUUAUAAACAGAUGCGCUGGGCAGCAGGAGGCCAGCAUAAGGUAGACAGCAGGUGUACAGAACAGCAGGAGAGUUGAACAAGUCAACAUUCAUCUUCAUUCUGUAAAAUUCAGUAAUAAAAACAGAGGGAACUUGUUAUAAUAGGGAUCUAGCUAAUUAAUACUGAAUUCUAGUGAAUCAAGCAAGACUGGCAUAAUAGUAAAUUACAUUUGUCAAGGUGAAUAAUUAUGGAUAUGUAAAGUUAUAUACAUUUAUUAUAAUAGGAAUCAGUAGAAUGAUUUAGCUAUAUAGGCAGGAAUUUCUCUUCUAAAACUGUAGAAGUCUGCAGGAUGUUGAUGGUUGCUACAUGCAGCCAUUACUCCCCUAAGUUCUGGAGUUCCUGAUCGGAAUCCCAUUGUAAUAAUAGAAGUGGACAAGAUGAGACACCAAAAAGCCCACUUCAGCCUUCCUUGCUUUCAAUAGUAAAGUUACUUAUAUAUAUCUGAUCUAGCUAGAUGCGAGGUAAAUGAAGAGUAAAAAUAAUUUUACAUGAUAUAAAUACAUCAAAAUUUUGGUGUACACAAAUAUAUAUUUUGUAUGGGUUAAAAUGACAAUUAAAAAAAAAUUAUCAGUGAUUCAAGCUGGAUGCUUUGAUUUAAGACAGACAUUUAGAAUAAAGGCCUCUUUCCACCUGUCCCCCUCCCCUCUUAUAUUUUGUGGGCAUAAAUUUUGUGCUUGAAUAGGAUUUAAAAUUCUGAUUAGAUGUCUGUACUCACGUAACUAUUUUUAUUUUCACACCUCCUUUUGGUGUUAUUUUUUCAGUGUAUUAGACUACAGACAAAAUAACACAAUAGGUCAUUUGACUUGCAUAGGUUGUUUAAUUUUUUCAAAUGAGAGAUAAGAUGCUAGCAAUACAACAAAAUCCAGGGGGAAAAAGUCAGCUAUACCAUCCCUGAACCUCAUCUACUAUAUCUCAUGUCAGUAAUUUGAUUGGGAUAUGGUACAUGCUUUGUAUCUGUUAAUCCAUCAAGUGUGUAAAUCUGGAACACACAUAUACUCUAAUCGAAGCAGGAAGGCAGAUUUUCUAAAACUUUUUUGUGGGACUUCUGUUGAUAUCAAGCCAGAAAAAUACUUUAAAUAUGAAAUUAGUUUUAUAUACCACAAGAACGAUGGGUGCCUAUAUAUGAGCAUGGAGUCUAUUCUGAUGCGCUGGAAUUCCAGUGUGUUGGAGCAGGCUUGAUUAAUCUGUGCUCCAACAGCCUCCUGCAUCUUGUGUAUCAGUGUCCCUGUGCUUAAAAAAUGGUGGUGGGGGCGCUUGAACUAAAGUUCAUCUAACAAGCUGAAGCUCAAGCACCCCCGCUGUCAUUUUUGAGUGUGGGGACACUGACACCUGAGAUGUGGUGGUGCUUUAACUAGAGCAGCUCUUGGAGCCUUUCUAAUUAUAGUGCUGCCUCCCCCCCCACCUGUGGAGCAUGUAUAAAAGUGCCCAAUGAUACUAAAAGUUUAAAAAAAAAAAAUGUUCAUUUGUAUGUAUCACAGUUCUGUUGCUGUCAGGGAGUGCAUUUCAAUUUUUAAAAGAAGUUUAUUAUAUCACUUACUAGAAAGGACUAUGGCAUAGGCAUUCUGGCAUAAUGAACUAUAUUCAGCUUGAAAUAUAUCAGAAUAUCUUCAUGUACAGUGUGCUUCCUUAAUAGUGUUUUUACAAAGAAGCAUUAUACAUACUUAUACUAUAUGUUGCUUAGAGAUUGUCUGCAUAAAAAUAAUUAUUGUAAAUGAAUAUGGAAAGAACCAGUGAUGAAAAGCGGAGGUUAUUAAUAGGUCAAAAGAACUGACAAAGAGUCAGCAGCAAUAGAAAUCAUUAAAAUUCUACUACUUGUGAAAUCAAACGGAGAUUGGGAAUGUCAGGAUAUGAAUGUGCCCCCCCCAGACCCAGGAGGCACCAGUCACUGAGCUGGAGGUGCGGGGGGGGCCCCCUGUGUGCUCCCCAGUGGACCUGGAAAUAGACCAGAAGUGGUUCUGGUCCGCUUCUGGGUCUGCUGCUGAGCACGCUGGGGAGCCCCCAUGCUUCUGUGGGACACUCUAUGUGCCCCAACAUUGCAGCAUUCACCAGCCACUGCUACCUAGAGGUAUGUAGAAAAAGCAUUUAAAGCUGCGUCUAUGUCAGAAUCUCCAAAUCUUUCUGAAUCUCUCCGAAUUGAUUCGGAGCAUUUCAAUUUGAUUCAGAGAGAUUAAAGGGUCCUCUGAUUCGAUUUGGAUAUUCAGCCACUGAAUUAGGCUGAAUCUCCACUGAAUUGAAUCAGGGACCAAAGCUUGUCACAGCCCUAGUUUUUAACCACUAUGCUACUGAGUGUGCUAAUGUGCAGUAAGCAUCUUUUGUAGGCACAGCUGAGAAGUAGGACUGGAAGGGAGUACCAUAGGUCAUCUAGUCCAACUUCUCAAAUCCAGGGGCAGAGUCCACAACACAGUCCAGCAUCUGGUCCCUGGUCCCUGGAUCCUGAUCCUGAGUUACCAAAUCUGAGGGAGAAUACAUAGGGCAAAGUCCAAGAGCAGAACCAAAGUGGGUUCAGGAGCCAGGAAAGAGAUCCACAAGGAAAUCCCAAGCUGAAGCCCAGGAAGAAGCCAAACCUAGGGCCAGGAACCAAGAGGCUUACCACAGAAGACUGGGUCAGAAUGGCUGAUUGGUCUGGAGACUAUUGCCACAGGUGGGAAUAAUUGGGGAGACACCUCCAAGCAGCCAAUUAGGAAGCCAGGGUUAACUAGCUGGGGAAGAGCUUGUCUGCCUAGGCAAUCAACUCAAGCAGGGCUGUCUGCUAAGGUCCCUGACACUAUUUGUUACAGCUUGUUAGAAAAAUGAUGAUGGAACAAUUUUCUGUUGUAGUUUUACUAAACUGGCAUGUUUUGUGAAUUUGUUUGAAUUUUUCUGAGGAAAAACUGAAAACAACAGUUCUGACUGUGAAUGUAGUUUUUAAUAUGA